UCAAUGUCUCUGAGUUGGCUUUCUAAACCCUCAACAUAGGCUACUAACUCUGGUGGUUGUAGAGCCCAAAUGCGAUGUGUUUUACAAAAUUGAAUCUGUCUUUUGAGAUGAGUUUUGACACGUUGAAGUGGUUUAAGAAUGUUCAGGAGGAACGGUCUAAGUAAGGUACUCAUGAUUAAAAACGAUAAGAGAAAACUUAAUGGUAAAAUAAACACACUUAUGCAAAAACAAUUUCAAUUAGCAAAAGAAUAAUAAUAAAAAGAAAUAAAGAAAAAUCAAAUCAACGAAAAGAAAAAAAAAUCAAUUCAAAUCUGGUGGGUCACUCAAAUUUAUUUCGGUGUCUUCUCCAUGUGGUUGGUACUCUAGAUAUGGCUUUAAUCUUUGACCAUUAACUUUAAACGUGACACCAUUCUUUGGGUCUUUAAUUUCAAUUGCCCCAUGUGGAAAAACAGUAUGAACAAUAAAUGGGCCAGACCAACGAGAGCGUAACUUACC
rnacentral:lncRNA from 1 species